AGUGGCGAACGGGUGCGUAACACGUGAGUAAUCUGCCGGGAAGUGGGGGAUAACUCGUCGAAAGGCGAAUUAAUACCGCAUAUGGCCAGGACAUCCAAAGCCGCGCUUUCUGAUGAACUCGCGGCCUAUCAGCUAGUUGGUGAGGUAACGGCUCACCAAGGCGAUGACGGGUAGCUGGUCUGAGAGGACGACCAGCCACACUGGAACUGAGACACGGUCCAGACACCUACGGGUGGCAGCAGUCGAGAAUUUUUCACAAUGGGGGCAACCCUGAUGGAGCGACGCCGCGUGGAGGAUGAAGGUUUUCGGAUUGUAAACUCCUGUCAAAUGGGAACAAUGAUAGUACCAUUAGAGGAAGAGACGGCUAACUCUGUGCCAGCAGCCGCGGUAAUACAGAGGUCUCAAGCGUUGUUCGGAUUCAUUGGGCGUAAAGGGUGCGCAGGCUGUGUGGUAAGUCGGGUGUGAAAUUUAGGGGCUCA
rnacentral:rRNA from 1 species